rnacentral:rRNA from 1 species
UAAGGAAUAUUGCUCAAUGGGAGAAAUCCUGAAGCAGCAACGCCGCGUGGAGGAUGAAGGGUCUAUGACUUGUAAACUCCUGUAAAGAAGGAAAAAAUUCCCAUUAGAUGGGAGAUGAUGGUACUUCUGGAGUAAGCCCCGGCUAACUACGUGCCAGCAGCCGCGGUAAUACGUAGGGGGCAAGCGUUGUCCGGAUUUACUGGGUGUAAAGAGUGCUCAGGCGGAUUUGUAAGUCAGAGGUGAAAUCUUACAGCUUAACUGUGAAACUGCCUUUGAUACUGCAAGCCUAGAGUAUGGAAGAGAGUGAUGGAAUAUCUGGUGUAGCAGUGAAAUGCGUAGAUAUCAGAUAGAACACCAAUGGCGAAGGCAGUCACUUGGUCCAUUACUGACGCUAAAGCACGAAAGCGUGGGUAGCAAACA